UUAAAUCGCCAUGGCGCGUUUUGAAAGUUGGAAAAACCUUACAUUUUUAAACAAAUGUCUAUUCGUUUUAACAUUUGUUGCAACAUUAUCGCUUGUCCUUGGAUUUGCCACACCUUUCUGGCUGACUGUCAGUGUACCUGAAGAUUUUUCUGCCAAGAUUUACAAUAAACCAAGCAAAUUGGAAAUUGAUUUGCUUGAAACAAAUCAUUACUUAGGGCUUUGGCAAUGGUGCUUAGGUGGUAAUGGUUGUAUUGACUUAGGAUUAAUUGCUAAGUUAGGAUCCGAAAAAAAAUACCAGUAUCAAUGGGAGAAAGAUUCAUAUGAAAAAGUAAAGAAGAUUUUUGCUUACUGGAUAGCAACACGAGUACUUGCAUCUAUAGGGUUUGUUAGUGCUGUUUUUGUGACGAUUAUGCUGCUCUUGUUUAUAUGUAGAGGAACAGGAACCAGUCUAUGUCAAGGUCUAACUGUAAUCGGAUGCUUUGUAACUGGAGGAUUUCUUGUGAUAUCUGUGGCUGUGUUUGGUUCUGGAAUCUACAAUAAUUCAGACAUGUUCUACCUAAACCGCUUCAAUAUCAAUCAUCAUCUGAGCUUUUCUUUUGGGAUGACGUGUAUUGCAGCCAUAUUGUACACAGUUAUUGGAACUGUUCUUACAUUUAUCUUAUGUACUGGAGGUUACGAACGUGGAGGAAGGCACAGAAAAGCACCAACAAAUGAAGAUGCUUAAAGACUUGUUUGAAUUGUUGGGGCCCUUUAUAGCUUGCUGUUCAGUGUGAGCCAAGGCUCUGUGUUGAAGGCUGAACUUUGACCUAUAAUUGUUAACUUUUUAGCUCACCAGGCCCAAAGGGCCCCAUUUGUGCUUAUGCCAUCACUUUGCGUCCGUCGUCAUCCUAAACUCUUCUCCUCUGAAACUACUGGGCCAAAUACCUUCAAACUUACAUAAAUGUUCCUUAGGGUAUCUAGUUUAUAAAUUGUAUCUGAAGUUUUGAUCAUUAACAAACAUGGCUGUCAUGGCUAAAAAUAGAACAUAGGGGUCAAAUGCAGUUUUUGGCUUAUAUCUCAAAAACUAAAGCAUUUAGAGCAAAUCUGACAGGGUAAAAAUGAUCAAUAGGUCAAGAUCUAUCAGCCCUGAAAUUUUCAGACGAAUCGAACAACCCAUUGUUGGGUUACUGCCACUAAAUUGGUAGUUUUAAGGAAAUUUUGCAGUUUUGGGUUAUUAUCUUGAAUAUUAUUGAAGAUAAAGAUAAACUGUAAAAAUUAUUCAGCACAGUAAGAUCUACAAAAAAGCUAAUAUGACCAAAAUUGUCAAUUGACCCCUUAAGGAGUUAUUACCCUUGAAAGACAAUUUUACUCAAUUUGUUCUUCAUGUUUGCUAACAUUUAAAAAUCUUCUCCUCUGAAACUACUGGGCCUAAUGCUUCUAAACUUUAACUGAAUGUUCCUUAGGGUAACUGGUUUAUAAAUUGUAUCCGAAGUUUGAUCCAUUAACAAACAUGGCCGCCAUGGCUAAAAAUAGAACAUAGGGGUAAAAUGCAGUUUUUGGCUUUUAUCUCAAAAACUAUAGCAGUUAGAGCAAAAGUGACAUGGAGUUAAAGUGAUGAAUAAUUCAAGAUCUAUCUGCUAUGUAAUUUUCAGACCAAUUGGAUCACCCAUUGUAGGGUUACUGUCUGAAAUAGUUUAUUUUUAUGAAAUUUUACUGUUUUUGGGUUAUUAUCUUUAAUAUUAUAAUAGAUAGAGAGAAAGUGUAUAUGGCAAAAAUGUUCAGCUAAGAAGGAUCUACAAAAAAGUCAAAUGAUCAAAAUAGUCAAUUGACUCCUUAAGGAGUUAUUGCCCUUGAAACGUUUAUUUUUUACAUUUUUUCUUGCAAGUCUAUUACUUUUCAAAAAUCUUCUUCUCUGAAACUACUGGGCCAAAUACUUCUAAACUUUAAUUGAAUGUUCCUUAGGGUAUCUAGUUUAUAAAUUGUAUCUGAAGUUUUGAUCCAUCAACAAUCAUGGCCGCCAUGGCUAAAAAUAGAACAUAAGGGACAAAAGCAGUAAUUGGCUUAUAUCUCAAAAACUACAGAAGUUAGAGCAAAAGUGAAAGGGAGUUAAAGUGAUAAAUGGGUCAUGAUCUAUCUGUUAUGAAAUUUUCAGACAAGUUCGACAACCCAUUGUUGGGUUACUGUUGGAAAUAGUUUAUUUUUAUUAAAUUUUACUGUUUUUGGUUAUUUUCUUUAAUAUUAUAAUAGAUAGAGAGAAAGUAUAAAUGGCAAUAAAUGUUCAGCUAAGUAAGAUCUACAAAUUAGUCAACAUGAUCAAAAUAGUCAAUUGACCCCUUGAGGAGUUUUUACCCAUAAAACGUUUUUUUUUCUUCAUUUUUUGUGAAAGUCUAAUUAUUUUUUCAAAAAUCUUCUUCUCUGAAACUGCUUGGCCAAAUACUUAAAAACUUUAAUUGAAUGUUCCUUAGGGUAUCUAGUUUAUAGAUUGUAUUUGGGGAUUUGAUCCAUUCAAAAACAUGGUGGCAGUUUCUAAAAAUAGAACAUAGGGGUCAAAUGAAGUUUUUGGCUUUCAUCUCAAAAACUAAAGAAGUAAGAGCAAAACUGAUAUAGGUGAAAGAAAGUGUUAAACAGGUUUAGAUCUACCUGUCAAGUAAACUUCAGAACAAUAGGACAACUUAUUGUUGGGUUACUGUCCAGAAAUAGUUAAUUUUUAGGAAAUUUUACAGUUUUGGGUUAUGUAUUAUCUUUGAUAUUAUUAUAGAAAGAGAGAAAGUGUAAAUUACAAAAUUGUUCAGCAAAGUAAGAUGUACAAAUAAGUCAAAUGCCUGAAAGUGAAAUUACAGGUGAGCGAUAUCAGGCUCACAUGAGCCUCUUGUUAUACAUUGUGACUUGGAUGGAGAGUUGUCUCAUUGGCACUCAUACCACAUCUUCUUAUUUAUAUUGUUUGUUCUUUGUGAUAUCUUGAUAUGAGAAUUGAAGAAAACAUUUUACACAGGUAAAUUUUAAUAAAUGAAGAUAUGAUUGAACAGUUUGUGACAGGUACCCAUUUUUAAUGGAGAAAGGACUUUUUUGAAUUAUACAACAGAUCUUUACUUUAAUUUUUGAACCUAGAGCUAUGUUAUUAAAAAGAAUCUUGUGUAUUUAAAUUUAGAAAUUUUAUUUCAACAAUUGUAUAUUGCAUUAAGCAUGUUCAAAUGGAAACAUUCAAUUCAAUUUCAACAGAAGUUACCAAGAAACACCUUUUAGGGUGUGUUUUUUUUUAUGCCCCCGCCAUAGCGGAGGGGGGAUUAAGUUUUACCCUUUUCUGUACAUCAGUCAGUCCGUCCGUAUGUCCCAAAAUUGGUUUCCGUUCUCUAACUUUAGUUUGCCUCAACCAAAUGUUAGGAAACUUAUACACAAUGCUUAUUACCACAAAACACAGAUCAAGUUUGAAUUUGGGUGGCCUCACUUUUACCUUUCUAGAGUUAUGCUCCUUUACAAAUGGAAAAAUUUUUGGUUUCCAUUCUCUAACUUAAGUACUUAAUACAUCUCCUUCCAACUUAACCUUAGGCAGUUUAAGUAAGAAUGCACACACAAAAAAUUACCAGUAAGUUGAAAAUUUGUGUAUAAUAAAUCAAAUCAGAGCCAAAGCAAGAAAUCCUAUUUUGUUGGAAAAUAAUAAGAAUUUUCUACCCCAGGAAUAGAUUACCACAGCUUAUGUAGUUUUUGGUCCUCAAUGCUCUUCAACUUCGUACUUUAUUUGGCCUUUUAGAUUUGAGUGUCUCUGAUGAGUCUUUUGUGGGCGAAAUGCGCAUCUGGCUUACAAAAUUAUAAGCCUGGUAUCUGCUGAAUUUUUUUUAAUGAAAUUAUAGGAUCACACACAAGAGUAGGAUGGCUGUAAACCAUUUGUUGAUCUACAGUAAGGUUGAAAAUUUAAUUUUUUAUAGAUUUUAAAUUAUAUCUGGUAUGAUCUGCUUGAGAGAAGCAAUUGGAUACAUAUAGAUUCUACCACUGCAUCGAGUGUGAUACGAUAUUUAUCCACUCGAGACAGUUAAAUUUUCAAAUUUAAAACGCGAGGCUCGCUGAGCGUUUUAAAUAUUUAAAAUUUAACUGUCGAGUGGAUAAAUAUCGUAUUGCACGAGAUUUGGUGGUGGAAUCUGUUUCUCUAAUGAUUUUCAAACAAUACGCAGGCAAAUUUAUUCCUUCUUUUCGAAUGAUCUGCAAAGAGAUGUGUUCUUUCUAUGUGACGUCAUCAGGCAUGGUCGACUUUUUUCAUGCCAUCACAAUAGGAAAUUCAGAGGAAAGCAAGAAAAUUCGACGUCAUAAUCGGAUUUUAUCCAAUGAAGAACUGAGAUCAAACGAACCACACGUUGAUUAAAUUUUUUUUAUACAAUGGGUGCAGAAAGGGAUAAAUUGACGAAGAAUUAGAGAAAAAUAUAUAGCUGGUAUUUCUGUAAUAUAUCCAUCAAAAGAGGUAAAGUUAAUUUUUGAUGUGUAUUUAUAUAGAACCCUCAGUGAACUGCUUUAUAUAAUUCUAGGUUGUGUGCUAUUAUGACAUGUAUAUACCGGUGUUAAAGGUGUACACCUACUUUACUUUUGUAUUGUUUUGUUUUACAUACCCUUGUUCAAGGUGUACACCUACUAUACUUUUAUAUUGUUUAGUUUUACAUACCUGUGCUACAGGUGUACACAUACUCUAUUAAAUUUGUUUUUUUGUUUUUUAUAUACCAGAGCCUUGUGUAACAUUAAAGGUUUUUUUAAAAUAAAUUCAUAACCCUUAUUUUGAGUUUAUGAACUUUUCAUUACUUCUUAGAAUCAGCAUUCAAUAAAACUUUAAAAGUAG